rnacentral:lncRNA from 1 species
CAUGACCCACAAUCUAUGCAGGAGAUCAUUAGUGGGUCACCAAAGUCUAGCCAAUAGGCAAUGCGUCGUAGUCCCAGUCUAUAGAUUUUAGGUUCUCCCUUAGAGACGAACCAAAGUCACCCAUAUCUUGAUGCAAUCCAUUGCUCGAUAGUGUAUAAGGGUUAUCUCUCGCACAUACAUACGUUUCACUACGAAAAGGUGAUUCAUUUUCCCGAAAACGACUAUCAAUGUGCAUGUCGUGUGAUUGUAUGUGGAUGAGACUUUGGCUCCGUUUCUAAAAGCCUCCAUCAUACACAAAAGGUCACACAGUCCAUCAGUUCACUCAUCCAAGCAUAGUCCGAUUUCAUCAAAGGAUGACCAUCAUAACCUUCAUCGGUUUAGUUUUCUAUGCCCAAGUAAUAUGGGUUUUUCUCAACUAGACUGGCCUAACACAUUAAACACAGUUCGGUUUCAACAAAUAUAAUUUGCUUAGUAUAGUCCACAUGGGACCUUACUCCUACUAAGUUCAUAUUCCACUAUAUACAUUCAUGUACAAUCACUCAUAAAGCCUUUUAAUGGCCAUACUCACGUAGCAUAAGUCAUGCGAUUGAGCCCCAUGAAGCAAUUUGAAAUUCCGGUCAAAUUAGUAGUGGAACCAAAUUUGACUUAACUAGAUCUCUUACGUGUUUGGUAGUUGGUUUUUUCAUCUUUAUUUUUUAUUGCAAAUGCCUAUAUAUGGUGCUUCAAUAGGACCAAAUUGUGUAUGUCGUCUCACAACAUAAAACCUAGUCAGGUGGUUCAUUUGGCGUAUGACUAUCUUUUUUUCUUCUUUUUUACAAGUGUUAACAACUUUAUUAAUGAAAGAUAAUUACAAUAGAUGAAUUACAUCAUCAUAAACCAAAAGAGAUGGCAAGGAUACACCCACUGUCACAAAGGAAUCAGCUAGAGAAUUUGCCUUCCUAUACGCAUGAUGGAAUGAAAUACUAAAAGAGAAUUUGGCUUCCUAUACGCAUGAUGGAAUGAAAGAGUCCGUGACUCAGCCAUAUCAAGAACUUGUAACCAAACUGAUUUUAGUUCCUAAAGCACUCUCUGCUCCCUGUUGCACAAUUUAAUCACAUUCAUCGAAUCACCUUCCACCGAGCAAAAGACCCCGAAAUUUUUGCUUAUAAAGAGCUUUAAACUAUGGAAAAGAGCUAAAAAUUCAACAUGAUUAGCAUUAGCAAUGCCAAUGGGGCCAGCAUCAGCCAUAUUUCAAUAUCUAACAACUCCCCCAAUACCUACUUCGUCGAGUUACCAAGUGAGCUCCCGUCAAAAUUGAGUUUAAAACAACCCUACAUCGGAGGUAUCAAUCUACCUUUAUGUUGACAUUUAGCAAUAUCUAGACGAAACAAAUUUGGAAGGUUAAGCAUAACAUCCCUGCUCAAUGACUGCCAACCAACUCCAAAGGGAAUGAUUGGUGUUAUUAAGAACUUUGUCAAAAGAUAAAAUACCUCUAUUAAAAGUUCUUUUAUUUUAUUCCUUCCAAACUUCUCACAAAAUCAGCCCUCUCCCUAUGUUCCAAAUCACAUUACCAACCUUUGGUAAGUUGGGAAAGGCCAUUUGAAUCACAACACCCAAUACACCUUGAGGCAGAAUCACCCUUAACCCCUAAUUGCAUAAAGAACCAGUCCCAAAUCUUUGAGGCAGAAGAACAAUACAAAAAUAAGUGUACCCCUGAUUCACCAUCAUCCUUACAUAUAAGACAUAUGUUUGGAAGUAUUUUAUCCCUCUUAAUGAAAUUAUUAUUAGUAUAUCAUCUUGCAUUGCUAACCGUAUGAAAACUUGUACUUGUAAGGUAUGGGCCAUUUUCAGAUUUAUACAAUUUGUGGCAAUGACCAUCGCAAAAAAGAGGAGUCUAUAAACCGAUUUCAUAGAGAACUGCGCCAUCACCUUCAGCAUCCCAUACAAUCUCAGCUACCAUAUUUGGCUGGCUGUAUACCGUAUUCAACUCCUCCAAUAAAGAAGUAAAUUGAGAAUACAGACCAUCAUCUAAUCUGUCAUAUGAAAAAUUUGAAUUCCUUACGAUUUGAUUUCUUAAAAAUUCAUAAACAUCACCCACCUUCUCAUAUGGUUGAGCCACCUUAUCAAAUAAUUUUAGAACCCGAGCCAUUUGUGAUGCGAAAAAAUACCUGAUUGCCCAUCCCCACACCGACGUGAAUUACAUUGCUAUUUUCUGGAAGGCAAAGAACUUUUGACGCCCAAUAAAUUUCAGAAUAAGAAGAGAAGGCGUUUUUUCACACGAUCAUACCAUUAAAUUGGAGUAAGAAGAGGGGUGCUUUUUUGUAAAUGCAUUUCGCCCUCCUUUGGAGAGAGAGAGAGAGAGAGAGAGAGAG